CGAAAAUAGAGUCGCAGGAUGGUAUCUCCUGCCCCCGUUCGUGGGGCCGUGACCGCCACGG
rnacentral:ncRNA from 1 species